GACGAACGCUGGCGGCGUGCCUAACACAUGCAAGUCGAACGGAGUUUCCAGCAAUGGAUUCUUAGUGGCGAACGGGUGAGUAACGCGUAGACAACCUACCGCUUAGAUGGGGACAACACUACGAAAGUGGUGCUAAUACCGAAUGUUGUAUUUUGGUUGCAUAACUAAGAUACUAAAGAUGGCCUCUAUUUAUAUGCUAUCGCUAAGUGAUGGGUCUGCGUCUGAUUAGCUAGUUGGUGAGGUAAUGGCUCACCAAGGCGACGAUCAGUAGCCGGUCUGAGAGGAUGAACGGCCACACUGGGACUGAGACACGGCCCAGACUCCUACGGGAGGCAGCAGUGGGGAAUCUUCCGCAAUGGACGAAAGUCUGACGGAGCAACGCCGCGUGAGUGAAGAAGGUUUUCGGAUCGUAAAACUCUGUUUUCAGGGACGAAUGUGCGCAGUGUAAAUAAUGCUGUGUAAUGACGGUACCUGAGUAGAAAGCCACGGCUAACUACGUGCCAGCCGCCGCCGUAACAC
rnacentral:rRNA from 1 species